UUAAGGGUCCUGAAGGAACGUUGAAGACGACGACGUUAAUAGGCCGGGUGUGUAAGCGCAGCGAUGCGUUGAGCUAACCGGUACUAAUGAACCGUGAGGCUUAACCUUACAACGCCGAAG
rnacentral:rRNA from 1 species